UACGUAGGGUGCAAGCGUUAUCCGGAAUUAUUGGGCGUAAAGAGCUCGUAGGCGGUUUGUCGCGUCUGCUGUGAAAACUGGAGGCUCAACCUCCAGCCUGCAGUGGGUACGGGCAGACUAGAGUGCGGUAGGGGAGAUUGGAAUUCCUGGUGUAGCGGUGGAAUGCGCAGAUAUCAGGAGGAACACCGAUGGCGAAGGCAGAUCUCUGGGCCGUAACUGACGCUGAGGAGCGAAAGCAUGGGGGGCGAACAGG
rnacentral:rRNA from 1 species